rnacentral:rRNA from 1 species
GAUUUUGGACAAUGGGCGCAAGCCUGAUCCAGCCAUGCCGCGUGAGUGAAGAAGGCCUUCGUGUUGUAAAGCUCUUUCGGCGGGGACGAAAUGGUUCGCGCUAAUACCACGGACUGAUGACGGUACCGUCAGAGGAAGCCCCGGCUAACUCCGUGCCAGCAGCCGCGGUAAUACGGAGGGGGCGAGCGUUAUUCGGAAUUAUUGGGCGUAAAGGGCGCGUAGGCGGCCAUUCAAGUCAAAGGUGAAAUCCCUCGGCUCAACUGAGGAACUGCCUUUGAAACUGGAUGGCUUGAGGCCGGGAGGGGGUAGCGGAAUUCCCAGUGUAGCGGUGAAAUGCGUAGAUAUUGGGAGGAACACCAGUGGCGAAGGCGGCUACCUGGACCGGUUCUGACGCUGAUGCGCGAAAGCGUGGGUAGCAAA